rnacentral:snoRNA from 1 species
ACCCAAAAACAUCAAGAAAAGCCUUUCAAUAAAUUGCUUUUUUCUUGGCGAGAGAGAUAGAGAAAGAUAGGAGGGUGGCGGAGGGAACCGGAACUUAGGUUUCGGGGAUUUCUUUCAUUUUUUUUCUGUUUUUGUUCUGUUUUUUUCCCGGAAAAUAACUUUUCAGGACCGAUUACCGUAGUUGCGACUACACCAAUUGUUGUUCAUAUCCCCACGAUUUACUUUUUGGAAACUAGUUUUUGGAAUAAUAAUGUUGUAAAUUUCCCUUUUUCCACCCUAAUUUGUAUUUGAUUCGUUACAAAAUUGGGACUAAUAUUAAGGGCGACAGUU